rnacentral:rRNA from 1 species
UACAGAGGCCCCGAGCGUUAUCCGGAAUCACUGGGCGUAAAGGGUGCGUAGGCGGUUUUGUUAGUCUUUUGUUAAAACCCACGGCUCAACCGUGGACAGGCAAAGGAAACGGCAUAACUUGAGGAUGUGAGAGGUGUGCGGAACUCAUAGUGUAGGGGUGAAAUCCGUUGAUAUUAUGGGGAACACCAAAUGCGAAGGCAGCACACUGGCACACUCCUGACGCUGAGGCACGAAAGCGUGGGUAG